GAAAUGACCUUUGGCUCUAGAAGGAAGACUCAUUUUCUUGAUAAAAUGGCAGCAGUGAAAACUCCCAGCUUAGAACUAAAGAAUGUGGAAGAACCCUUCAAUAACGAAACGCCCCUCCUUUUGAAGAGCCUAGUGGAGGAGCCCAAGAAAAGAGAAGUGCCUAAUCACCUCCUUGAAUCAACACCUGGUCAAUGUUUCUUAUGAAGACACACAUGUUCAUAUUUUACCCCCACAAACCAAAUACUUCCAGAUCAGCUAUGUGAAGAAGGUAAGUGGCCUUUGGCUACCUUCCCUCUCCAUGGUGCUCUUUGGUGGGCUGUAGUUUUCCAGGUCUCAGGCCUGUUUGGGCAGUGGGAGUGUUUUGUGUUGUCACAGUGCUGUGCUCUGUGAGGUCUGGAGCUUGUCACAAUGAGAACCUACUUGCUUUCCAGGAAAACCGCCUCAUCCCUGGCUUGUCCCUCACAGUCACCAUUACAUUUUAUCCAGAUGAGUGGCGAUACUAUUAUGACUGCAUCCGUGUUCACUGUAAGGGAGACAAUACCUUGCUUGUUCCUAUCCAUGCCUAUCCCGUCAUGAACACCCUGGACUUUCCCACAUUCAUAAAUCUAUCCAAUGUUCUCCUUGGUGAGAGCAAAACUUACAUUAUUCCUUUGCAGUGCACCUGCCCUGUGGAUUUUGAGUUCCAAGUCACUUUGAUCCAGUCUCACCAAGCCUUUGUUAUUGAGCCAACAUCAGGAAUAAUUCCAGCUAAUGGGAGGAUGGAUGUGACUAUAAAGUUCACACCCUUUCAGUAUGGCACUGCACAAAUAAAAAUGCAGUUAUGGAUUUCACAGUUCAACUCUCAGCCGUACGAAUGCGUCUUCACCGGAACGUGCUAUCCCAACCUGGCCUUACCAUUAAAAGAAUUUGAAAGAUUAAAUACUCUUUCUAAGAAAGUAAAUGUUCCUCCAGAAAAAGCAAUGAGACAUAUAAGUUUUCACCGACUACCAGCAAAGAGAGCACCUCCGAAAAUGAAGGAAAUUGAGUACCAGAAUCUGAGAUUUCCAGUAGAUUUAUCAAAUCCAUUUGCUGUGGCAACUGUUUUAAACCAAGAACCAGGAAAAUUGAGGAUUAAAGAAUUAAGAGAAGUUUUGGACCAAGGCACUGGGAUUUCAAAAACAAGACAGAUGAAGGAGGCACUCUUUGAACAGAAAGUCAGACAAGACACUUAUGAAGAGAUGGAAAAUCACCGUAAAUGGCAGGUGCACCUUGGUAAAGAUCCUAUGUCUUUUAAAUUGAGAAAGGAGCUUACUGAGGAGCAGCAAAGAAUAUACACCAACUACAAGGUCAGAAUGACUGCUAAUUUGAUAACAUUUGUUUCACUAAAUAUUUUGAAUUCCUUUUGUAUGCAAGACGCCAAAUCAGGAGAAAGAAAACAUAUAAUUACAUUGGGAGGGGAGGAGGCUGGUGACAAGUAAAUUGUUAACUAUAGACCAACAUUGUUACAAGUAUACUGUGCAUUGUGGGUUAUUCAGAAGCCAGAGAGAAGAGGGAACUCAUCUAAUUGGAAAGCUUCUUGGAAGAUAUGGUACAAUUUUGAAAAUUAGGAAGAGGACAAAGUCAUGCAUGUGGAGAGAAUGGCUCAGAUUUUGGCUGUAACUCUGGCUGUGAGGCACAUCUGUCCCAUGUUCUGCAGAGCACAGAAACCAGGGAGGCCCAAAGACAGUAUCUGGGAGCCACACCAGAGUCAGUCCCAAGUCAAAGACAUUCAAAGAGGCUGAGCAGAGAGGGCCAGCUGGCCUGAGGGAAGUAGGGCCACAUCAGGGACACCAGGACUGCGUCUGAGCUUGGGGACAGAAGAUGUGGGACUGCACAAUACCUGUGGCCUUACCAUGGAUCACAGUGUCGAAAUGGUUAGUACAGCAGAGCAGGUGCAGAGAACCCUGGAAACAAGUCCAUUGGGGCUGAAGCACAGGGAAUAUAUGGCUGAAAAGAGAUAGGACUCGGCCUGGACACCAAAUAUGAGGGGCUUGGACUUAAUGGAUAGGACUCACAGAAUCAUCACAGACGGUAUUAGCCUGCUCAGGCUGCAGUAAGAAUGUUCUAACAGACUGGGUGCUUAGACAACAGAGCUGCUUUAGGGUUCAAGUGUCAGCAGGGCAGGUUUCUUCUCAGUCCUGUCUGUUGGCUCACAGAUGGCCAUCGUCUCCAUGUGUCUGUGUCCUAAGUGCCUCUUCUUUCAUGGACACCAGUCAUAAGACCUCAUUUUAUCCUGACCACCUCUUUAAAGAGCCCACUUCCAAAUACCGUCACAUGCCAAGGUCCUAGCAAUUAGUACAUCAACAUAUGAGUUGUGGGGAA
rnacentral:lncRNA from 1 species